CGGUGGCGCAAUUGGUAGCACUGUUGCUUUGCAGCAACAAGGUCCUGGGUUUGACUCCCAGCGGGGGGG